rnacentral:lncRNA from 1 species
AUGAAUGUUGCCUUAAAUCCUAUUUUGAAUUAUAAUAAUAUCAUUUCACUAGCUUUUUUUUGGUGAAUAUUUAACUAUUAUGUCUUGUUUUUGUCCCUUUAUAUUCAACUUUCCUGUGUUGUUUGUUUUAGGAUGUCUGUUAUAAGCAGCAUAUAGCUGGACUUUGUUUUUUAAAUCCAGUUUUGUAGUGUCUCUCUUUUAUAGAUGAACUGAACCCUUUAUUUGACCAAGAAGAUAUCAUCAUAUGUUAUAAACUGUACCAUAAAUCUGGUGACUGAUGAAGAAGGAGAAACAAAUGUGACUAUUCAAUUCUGGGAUUCUGAAGGUAGGCAAGAAAGACUCAUUAAAGAAAUCAAGAAUGUGAAAGUCAAAGUACUCAGACAAAAAGACAGUCUUCUCCAGGCACCAAUGCAUAUUGACAGAAAUAUCCUAAUGCUUAUUUUACUACUAAUACUGUUGAAUAAAUGCACAUUUAGUUGCAAUAUUGAAUUACAGGUGUUUCAAACAGCAUUGAAGAGACCUUUGCCAGUAAUUCUUGGGGCAGUUACACAGUUUUUUUUUGAUGCCAUUUUGUGGAUUUCUUUUGUCUCAGAUUGUGGCAUUGCCUGAGGCACAAGCUUUUGGAUUUGUAAUGACCUGCACGUGCCCAGGAAGGGUGGGGGCUGUCUCUUUUCUCUGCUUCUAGACGGAAAUUUCACAUUGGCCAUUUUGAUGACUUGCACAUUAACAUUAUUGCCCCGAUCACGAUGCCUGUCAAUUUUACACAUACAGUAAGAUAUUAGGGUUGUCAGGUACAUUUCAUAUUCCUAUUUCUAAAAUUGUGUCAACACUCCUUUUCAUACUUUAUCAGUAUCUGUUGAAAUAGUCAUCAAGCGUAGAAUACCUGAAAGAGCAAACUUCUUAGAGAGAAUAAUUAGACCUCUGAGUUUUAUUUUAAUGUUCAUAGGGAUUUAUUUGACUUUCAGAGUGGGAUUAAUGUUUCUAAAAACAGAUAACCUAGAGGUGCUUUUGUUGGGUCUCUUAGUUCCUGCUUCACAUUUCUCAUUUGGGCACUUUUUUGCUAAAGUUUGUAUGCUGUGUCUUCUUGUUUAUAAAACUGUUGCUAUUGAAAGUUGGUUGUUAAAUAGUUUCUUAGUCCUGGCCAUUAUUCAGCUGUCUUUUCCAAGUCCAAGGCAAACUUAGCCUCUGUGGCUCCUUUUACAGGAGCCAUGUGUUCUGGAUGUGAAAUGUUACUGUUCCUUUUGGUCUUACAAGGCUAAGAAAAGCUGUACCCUUAUCUUAGAAGAUAAGAGAAAAAGAAAUUGCC